ACGCUCGACACCUACUGGAGGCAGCAGUGGGGAAUAUUGCACAAUGGGGGAAACCCUGAUGCAGCGACGCCGCGUGAGCGAAGAAGUAUUUCGGUAUGUAAGGCUCUAUCAGCAGGGAAGAAACUGACGGUACCUGACUAAGAAGCACCGGCUAAAUACGUGCCAACAGCCGCGGUAAUCUGAGCGGGCUGGCAAGGC
rnacentral:rRNA from 1 species